rnacentral:rRNA from 1 species
GACGAACGCUGGCGGCGUGCCUAACACAGUGCAAGUCGAGCGAGUGGAGUUCUUCGGAACAAAGCUAGCGGCGGACGGGUGAGUAACACGUGGGCAACCUGCCUCAUAGAGGGGAAUAGCCUCCCGAAAGGGAGAUUAGUACCGCAUAAGAUUGUAGCUUCGCAUGAAGUAGCAAUUAAAGGAGCAAUCCGCUUUGAGAUGGCCUCGCGUCCGAUUAGCUGGUUGGUGAGGUAACGGCCCACCAAGGCGACGAUCGGUAGCCGGACUGAGAGGUUGAACGGCCACAUUGGGUCUGAGACACGGCCCAG